rnacentral:rRNA from 1 species
UACGGGGGGGAGCAAGCGUUGUUCGGAUUUACUGGGCGUAAAGGGCGCGUAGGCGGCCACCGCAAGUCGACUGUGAAAUCUCCGGGCUUAACCCGGAAAGGUCAGCCGAUACUGCGGGGCUAGAGUGCAGAAGGGGCAACUGGAAUUCUCGGUGUAGCGGUGAAAUGCGUAGAUAUCGAGAGGAACACCUGCGGCGAAGGCGGGUUGCUGGGCUGACACUGACGCUGAUGCGCGAAAGCGUGGGGAGCGAACAGG